rnacentral:RNase_P_RNA from 1 species
AAAGUGUACUAGGCAGUCGCAGCCUUGCAACCUUCAAAUGAGAGUAUAUGGGGGAUUAUUGCGAGGGUGAGGAAAGUCCGGACUCCACAGGGCAAAGUGAUGGCUAACGACCAUCCGUGGUGACACGCGGAAUAGGGCAACAGAAAGCAAACUGCCGAUGGCCUAAAACUUUUAGGAUCAGGUAAAGGUGAAACGGUGCGGUAAGAGCGCACCGCAGCGACGGUAACGUUCGUUGGCAUGGCAACCUCCACUCGGAGCAAUUCCAAGUAAGCAGGCGACAUCUCUGGAUGAAAACGGUUGCCCCUGUUUAGUCUGCGGGUAGGAAGCUUGAACACACUAGUAAUAGUGUGUCUAGAGAAAUGGCUGCCACAUGGCUUGAUUAUUUUCAGAUUUAAGACAUGCACAGAAUCCGGCUUAUAGGUUCACUUUGCCU